CACGUAGGGCGCGAGCGUUGUCCGGAAUUAUUGGGCGUAAAGAGCUCGUAGGCGGCCUGUUGCGUCCGCUGUGAAAGCCCGGGGCUUAACCCCGGGUCUGCAGUGGAUACGGGCAGGCUAGAGGUAGGUAGGGGAGAAUGGAAUUCCCGGUGUAGCGGUGAAAUGCGCAGAUAUCAGGAGGAACACCGAUGGCGAAGGCAGGUCUCUGGGCCAUUACUGACACUGAGAAGCGAAAGCAUGGGGAGCGAACAGG
rnacentral:rRNA from 1 species